rnacentral:lncRNA from 1 species
AAAUAUUCAUCUUGUACUUAGAAAAUUUUCAAUAUGUGUUUGGUUAUAUGUUCAAGUUUAUUUCAAAAAUGUUCCAUACUAUUUUAAAAUGUUCAUGAUGUAUUUGAAAAAUGUUGACUAUGAUUUUUUUAAAUGUUUAUCAUGUAUUUGGACAUUUUCACUCUAUAUUAAAAGCAUUUUCAUCGUGUAUUUAGAAAAAUGUUCCCCGUAUAUCUAAAUAUAUUUCAUCAUGCAUGAAAAAACUGCUCAUCGUGAAUACAGAAAAUAAUUGUUGUGUAUUUGCAAAAAAUAAAAUCACAGAUGAUCAUCCCCACUCCGAUGCGCAAACCCUCCCGUCACCAAGACCACAUCUAUGAGGAGAUACUAUUGACAGACAAGAUCUCAACAAAAUGCAUUGUGGAACAGGAGUUUUGACUAUCAAUCUACACUGACCGGCACAAGCCUACGUCGUGCUCAGUGAUUUCUUUUCCAAUUAAUCACUCCCAUCUACUUAUUAACGCGAGGCCAACAAAGUGACUAUGGAUCCCUGUCCGGCUAUGGCUCGGUGUUGUACCGUCUAUUUGGGGGAGUCGCAACUCCAACUCUAUAGAGGAGAAGUCAGGGUGAUUUUUUGUGAUCGUCAAAAAAAUGAAGGGAACUAUGCAGCGGCGCCACCGCACAUGUGCUUUCUAUUUGGGGCCAUAUAUGGUAGUCAGCCACUGUCUAUAUGACAGAGUAAAAAACCAACAACUUAUGUUGUGUCGUUCAUUUAGUCGUACCCUCAUCCCUUAUUGUGUUGUGCAUGAGUGUGAUGCCAUGAUAAUAUUAACUCCCACUCUGAUCGCAUCUCUACUCUCUUUUACCGGAAAGCAACACGUAUGCUCUAUAUCGCUCACAACAACUGAUACAUAAACAUUUGCCAUGGUUACAGGGUUGCUAUGCACUUCUUUACUUGUGCAAUAUGGUCAGUGGCCUAUAGCAGGCUGUAGUUUCUUUUAGGGGAUAACAAGCUGUAGUUGGUGCUUCCUGUUAGCAACAUCGGUAUAGUGUUGUUUUCUAUUUUUCAGAUUUUUGACAAUAAAUAUAAAUAUUUUAAAAUAAUACAAAAGUAAGUAAAAAUAAGUGUCGAAUAAAAGUUCAUCAUAUAUAAAAAUCUUUGGACCUCUCAAAAAUUCAUGUAAUUUGAAAAUAUGUGCAUGUUAUUUUCUAAAGUGUACGCUAUUUUAAAACAUGUUCAUAUAGAUUUUAUAAAUUAAAAGUCUUAAAGUAUUAAUUUUUCAUAUAAUUAAAAAAAUCGAUUUUAGUAAGUGUACAUGCAAAUUAUGUGUUCACAUAUACUAAAGUUUGUACACAAAACUUUUACAGAGUGUUCACACAAACUAAAACUUGUACAUGAAACUUUUACAGAGUGUUCACAUAAUUAAUAUUUUUUGAACAUUUUUUUAAAAUUCUCAUGACUAUUUUAGAAGAAUAAUUAAUUAAUUAUAACACUCCAAAUUAUGUUCAGU